rnacentral:rRNA from 1 species
GACGAACGCUGGCGGCGUGCUUAACACGUGCAAGUCGAACGGAAAGGCCCUGCUUUUGUGGGGUGCUCGAGUGGCGAACGGGUGAGUAACACGUGAGUAACCUGCCCUUGACUUUGGGAUAACUUCAGGAAACUGGGGCUAAUACCGGAUAGGAGCUCCUGCUGCAUGGUGGGGGUUGGAAAGUUUCGGCGGUUGGGGAUGGACUCGCGGCUUAUCAGCUUGUUGGUGGGGUAGUGGCUUACCAAGGCUUUGACGGGUAGCCGGCCUGAGAGGGUGACCGGCCACAUUGGGACUGAGAUACGGCCCAGACUCCUACGGGAGGCAGCAGUGGGGAAUAUUGCACAAUGGGCGGAAGCCUGAUGCAACAACGCCGCGUGCGGGAUGACGGCCUUCGGGUUGUAAACCGCUUUCGCCUGUGACGAAGCGUGAGUGACGGUAAUGGGUAAAGAAGCACCGGCUAACUACGUGCCAGCAGCCGCGGUGAUACGUAGGGUGCGAGCGUUGUCCGGAUUUAUUGGGCGUAAAGGGCUCGUAGGUGGUUGAUCGCGUCGGAAGUGUAAUCUUGGGGCUUAACCCUGAGCGUGCUUUCGAUACGGGUUGACUUGAGGAAGGUAGGGGAGAAUGGAAUUCCUGGUGGAGCGGUGGAAUGCGCAGAUAUCAGGAGGAACACCAGUGGCGAAGGCGGUUCUCUGGGCCUUUCCUGACGCUGAGGAGCGAAAGCGUGGGGAGCGAACAGGCUUAGAUACCCUGGUAGUCCACGCUGUAAACGGUGGGUACUAGGUGUGGGGUCCAUUCCACGGGUUCCGUGCCGUAGCUAACGCUUUAAGUACCCCGCCUGGGGAGUACGGCCGCAAGGCUAAAACUCAAAGGAAUUGACGGGGCCCCGCACAAGCGGCGGAGCAUGCGGAUUAAUUCGAUGCAACGCGUAGAACCUUACCUGGGUUUGACAUGGAUCGGGAGUGCUCAGAGAUGGGUGUGCCUCUUUUGGGGUCGGUUCACAGGUGGUGCAUGCCUGUCGUCAGCUCGUGUCGUGAGAUGUUGGGUUAAGUCCCGCAACGAGCGCAACCCUUGUUCACUGUUGCCAGCACGUUAUGGUGGGGACUCAGUGGAGACCGCCGGGGUCAACUCGGAGGAAGGUGGGGAUGACGUCAAGUCCUCAUGCCCCUUAUGUCCAGGGCUUCACGCAUGCUACAAUGGCUGGUACAGAGAGUGGCGAGCCUGUGAGGGUGAGCGAAUCUCGGAAAGCCGGUCUCAGUUCGGAUUGGGGUCUGCAACUCGACCUCAUGAAGUCGGAGUCGCUAGUAAUCGCAGAUCAGCAACGCUGCGGUGAAUACGUUCCCGGG